CUUCAGAAGGGAAACCUCUAGAAAUGGUGGGGGGAGGGCAAAAAUAGAAAAGGGAAGCUCCUUUUCUCAGAAGGGCAGACUUGACUCUCUUCCCCGUCUGCCACCAGUUAGAUUAGCUGACAAUAGAUGUGCCCCUCCCUCCCUGUGUGGUGCAGUGAAAAUAAGAGAAGACGAGGUAAUAUGGUACAAACAAAGGUAAGAGUAUUAAGGGUGAAGGUACAGAAACUGGGUAAAAUGGGGGCGAAACACAAGCAUAAACAGUGAAUCAGUGACUGGUUUAGGAGCUUGAAGUUCAGACCCACAAAACCUCCCUUGGUGUUUGAGAAAGCAACAAAUGAUGCCCCAACACAGAAACCUUUCCCUGUUAUUUGUAGGUGCAGUGGACACAAUGUAUGGAUGCGAGCCCCAGGACCUUCAACUCUCCAGCUGACUGGAAGCCUUCGAGGAGGACCACUGGGGAGUCCCAACGACGGAUGGGCUCUGUCAUGGUGGGGGGGAGACCCUCUGGGAUGCUGAGCACCAGGAAAGCAGCAGGACCCUUCACAGGGAAGUCCCAGCUCCUGGAGUGAGGUGGAUAUGUGAUGAUCUCAGCCUACAUCCUUAAAGAAAAAGCAAGUUUCUAGCCCUGGUGGCUGUGGAGAAAGCUUCAAAAUGUGACCCCAGCGCACCCUAAAGACUCCAAAUCUGUUAUAUUUACAUCAUCUCAUGAUUUUAAAGCCAGUCUCAUGAUUUUUGGUGAGCCUCAAUUAUGAUUUUUGAGCAUUUGGGGUUGGCAAUACUGGGAAUAACCAAUAUCUCUUGUUCCCUUUUCCUUUAGCUAUAUGGAGCCUUUUAUACAGAGAGAGGCUUCUGCUUGGAAGUCGUGUGUGUGAGGGGUGUUGUAUCUGUUCUUCUCGGGGAAAAGAGUAAAGGGAAGUGUCUG